rnacentral:rRNA from 1 species
AGUGAACGCUGGCGGUAGGCCUAACACAUGCAAGUCGAACGGCAGCACAGUAAGAGCUUGCUCUUACGGGUGGCGAGUGGCGGACGGGUGAGGAAUACAUCGGAAUCUACUUUUUCGUGGGGGAUAACGUAGGGAAACUUACGCUAAUACCGCAUACGACCUACGGGUGAAAGCAGGGGAUCUUCGGACCUUGCGCGAUUGAAUGAGCCGAUGUCGGAUUAGCUAGUUGGCGGGGUAAAGGCCCACCAAGGCGACGAUCCGUAGCUGGUCUGAGGGGAUGAUCAGCCACACUGGAACUGAGACACGGUCCAGACUCCUACGGGAGGCAGCAGUGGGGAAUAUUGGACAAUGGGCGCAAGCCUGAUCCAGCCAUACCGCGUGGGUGAAGAAGGCGUUCGGGUUGUAAAGCCCUUUUGUUGGGAAAGAAAAGCAGCAGGUUAAUACCCCGCUGUUCUGACGGUACCCAAAGAAUAAGCACCGGCUAACUUCGUG